rnacentral:rRNA from 1 species
UAUCUCUGUAGAGUCUGCAUAUCAAUAAGCGGAGGAAAAGAAACUAACAAGGAUUCCCUUAGUAACGGCGAGUGAAGCGGGAAGAGCUCAAAUUUGAAAUCUUCAAGGUUCUACCUUGACGAAUUGUAGUUUAAAGAAGUGUUUUCUGUUAGAUGAGUAGCAAAAGUUCCUUGGAAUGGGACAUCAUAGAGGGUGAGAAUCCCGUAUUUGGUUAUUCAUUCUAGCUUUGUGAUACACAUUUCAAAGAGUCGGAUUGUUUGGGAAUGCAGUCCAAAAUGGGUGGUAAAUUUCAUCUAAAGCUAAAUAUUGGCGAGAGACCGAUAGCGAACAAGUACCGUGAGGGAAAGAUGAAAAGAACUUUGAAAAGAGAGUUAAACAGUACGUGAAAUUGUCAAAAGGGAAGCGUUUGACACCAGUGUUGUUUUUCCGAAAAUCAAUUACGAAUGGCUUGAUUUUGUGUUGUAUUGACCUUAUCAGCUUUCUGCACUUUUUUCGAGUCUUUCUUAAUGCACUUUUCGGUUAACAAGUCAACAUCAAUUUCUUUUGUUGUAAAAGAGUAUUCGGAAGGUGGCUUUCUUUUCGGAGAAAGUGUUUAUAGCCCUAUACUUCUACAAUCGGAGAGAUUGAGGUCUGCAGCGUAGAUCCUUCGGGGUUAGAUACAUUUGUGCUAAGUUGUAGCUUUUCAUAGACAACUUGUUGACUAUGUUUAGUCAUGCGGCUUACUCGCUUAUGCUAUUUUACCUACGCUUAGGAUGUUGACUGAUAUGUAGUCGUA